CCUACGGGAGGCAUCAGUGAGGAAUAUUGGUCAAUGGACGAGAGUCUGAACCAGCCAAGUCGCGUGAAGGAUGACUGCCCUAUGGGUUGUAAACUUCUUUUAUAUGGGAAUAAAACGUUCCACGUGUGGGCUUUUGUAUGUACCAUAUGAAUAAGGAUCGGCUAACUCCGUGCCAGCAGCCGCGGUAAUACGGAGGAUCCGAGCGUUAUCCGGAUUUAUUGGGUUUAAAGGGUGCGUAGGUGGAUUGUUAAGUCAGUUGUGAAAGGUUGCGGCUUAACCGUGAAAUUGCAGUUAAAACUGGCAGUCUUGAGAACAGAAGAGGUAGGCGGAAUGCGUGGUGUAGCGGUGAAAUGCUUAGAGAUCACGAAGAACUCCGAUUGCGAAGGCAGUUCACUGGACUGCAACUGACACUGAGGCUCGAAAGUGUGGGUAUCAAACAGGAUUAGAUACCCCAGUAGUC
rnacentral:rRNA from 1 species